rnacentral:lncRNA from 1 species
CAUCCAUCCAUCACCAUGCAUCCCUACACCUAAGGUCCUAAACCUGUCCCUAGACCCUUUGCCGCACCAAGGAGGAGGAGAAGGAAGCUUGGAAGUUCAUGCAAUUCAAGUUCGCGUCGCUGGAAUUUUUAGGUGUUUCUUUUCCUUUGAUUUCAAUGUUUAAAUUCAAUUAUCUUUGUUUUGUGCGUAUGAGGAACUA